rnacentral:rRNA from 1 species
UACAGAGGGUGCGAGCGUUAAUCGGAAUUACUGGGCGUAAAGCGUGCGUAGACGGUUCUGUAAGUCGGAUGUGAAAUCCCCGGGCUCAACCUGGGAAUUGCAUUCGAGACUGCAAAGCUUGGGUGCGGAAGAGGGAAGCGGAAUUUCCGGUGUAGGGGUGAAAUGCGUAGAUAUCGGAAGGAACAUCAGUGGCGAAAGCGGCUUCCUGGUCCAGCACCGACGUUCAGGCACGAAAGCGUGGGGAGCAAACAGG